CUGUGCGAAAGGAGAUGAGCGCUCGUUUACGGGCCACUGUAGCGCUUAACCUUUAUACACUUCAUCAUACCGCUCCCCGUGACCCUCCUGUACACUUGGAGCUGUUCAGAGUUUGCAAUGUCUCUGUUGAAUAAUUGUAAAAAAUAUGACACGCCUGUAAUUCGCUAUAAGUUCGACUCCCUGGCAAUGGCAAGGACUGCCUUGUUCUUACUUAUGGGGUGUAGGUGUGUGGUGGGCUGUUGCAUGUACCCGUUCUUCAAGAAUGAGUUUAUGGACACAGUCUACCACUGUCCUACCCGCAACGAUGUUCUGGUUAUAAUAAAGAAGUGAAGUGUGGCGCCGAUAUGGACCGGACCAAUGUAGCGGUUCCUAUCACCCUAAAAACCUAUUCAAACCUAUGUGCCUAUUCAAAAUGUAUUCCUUUGAACAUGUGUCAAUAAAAGACUGAACAGAAGCUCA